rnacentral:rRNA from 1 species
CCUACGGGGGGCAGCAGUGAGGAAUAUUGGUCAAUGGACGCAAGUCUGAACCAGCCAAGUAGCGUGCAGGAUGACGGCCCUCCGGGUUGUAAACUGCUUUUAGUUGGGAAUAAAAGGGGGCUCGUGAGCCCCGUAUUGUAUGUACCAUCAGAAAAAGGACCGGCUAAUUCCGUGCCAGCAGCCGCGGUAAUACGGAAGGUCCGGGCGUUAUCCGGAUUUAUUGGGUUUAAAGGGGGCGUAGGCCGGCUUUUAAGUCAGCUGUGAAAGUCCGCGGCUCAACCGGGGAAUUGCAAUUGAGACUGGAGGGCUGGAGGGCACACAGGGAAGACGGAAUUCAUGGUGUAGCGGUGAAAUGCUGAGAUAUCAUGAAGAACCCCGAUCGCGAAGGCAGGUGCCCGAGGUGUAACUGACGGGGAGGCUCGAAAGGGGGGGUAUCAAACAGGAUUAGAUACCCUAGUAGUC